CGACUGGACCUCUUUGUUGUGAUGUGUCGCUCGGGCUCUUUCUUCUCUCCCUUCACUCCUCUUUCUCUUCUUCCCCACACCCCUUCUUUUGUUUUUUACUGUCACUUUUAACCUUUUUUGCUUGCCUCUAGGAAGCCUUGACUGCUUCCAUUUUGUAAGCUAAGUUCAUCUCACUUAAUGAAUGAAGCAGAUAGCUUGCUACAUAUUUCUCAAAAAAAAGAAAGUUUCAAACUUAAUAUCAUAACAUUUUCUUAUUUCUCCUUCUUGCAAUUGACUUAAUUUUCUCAUUUUCUCAUUUUCAUCAUUUAAACUUACAACACCGAACUUCAACAUUUGAAAACUAUAUAAAUUGGAUGAAUUUGUUAAAUUUUGAUCGCUA
rnacentral:lncRNA from 1 species